GACGAACGCUGGCGGCGUGCCUAACACAUGCAAGUCGAACGGAGUUGUGAAGGUAGUUUACUACCAUUGCAGCUAAGUGGCGGACGGAUGAGUAACACGUGGGCAACCAACCUUAGAGUGGGGGAUAACAACGAGAAAUCGUUGCUAAUACCGCAUAAAAUUAAAUAUUUGCAUGAAUAAUUAAUUAAAGGAGAAAUCCGCUCUAAGACGGGCCCGCGCCUGAUUAGCUAGUUGGUGGGAUAAAAGCUCACCAAGGCGACGAUCAGUAGACGAUCUUAGGGGCUGACCGGACAUACUGGAACUCGGACACGGUCCAGAAUCCUGCGGGAGGCAGCAGUGGGGAAUAUUGCAGAAUGGGGGAAACCCUGAUGCAGCUACGCCGCGUGGAGGACGAAGGUUUUUGGAUUGUAAACUCCUGUCAUCUGGGAAGAUAAUGACGGUACCAGAUGAGGAAGCCACGGCUAACUACGUGCCAGCAGCCGCCGUAAGAC
rnacentral:rRNA from 1 species